ensembl:snRNA U6 U6 spliceosomal RNA
GUGCUCACUUUGGCAGCAUAGAUACUAAGACUGGAUGAUACAGAGAUCAGCAUGAUCCCUGUGCAGGGAUGAAAUGCAAAUUCAUAAAGAAUUCCGUAUUUUU